rfam:Aedes albopictus isolate Foshan contig135502, whole genome shotgun sequence.
CGUUUUGUAGCGAUGUUGGUUAAUGCAUCCUGUCUAAUGUAUUGGGAGACGUGGGUUCAAAUCCCAUCAAAACCA